ACAGAGGGGGCAAGCGUUGUUCGGAAUUACUGGGCGUAAAGGGCGCGUAGGCGGCCUGUUAAGUCGAACGUGAAAUCCCUGGGCUCAACCCAGGAACUGCGUCCGAUACUGGCAGGCUUGAAUCCGGGAGAGGGAUGUGGAAUUCCAGGUGUAGCGGUGAAAUGCGUAGAUAUCGUCCAGAACACCGAUAGCGAAGGCAGCUUACUAAGGAGUAACUGACGCUGAUGCACGAAAGUGUGGGGAUCAAACAGGA
rnacentral:rRNA from 1 species